rnacentral:misc_RNA from 1 species
AAAUGCGAUAAGUAAUGUGAAUUGCAGAAUUCAGUGAAUCAUCGAAUCUUUGAACGCACCUUGCGCUCCUUGGUAUUCCUUGGAGCAUGCCUGUUUGAGUAUCAUGAAAUCUUCAAAGUAAAUCUUUUGUUAACUCAAUUGGUUUCUACUUUGGUAUUGGAGGUCUUUGCAGCUUCACACCUGCUCCUCUUUGUUCAUUAGCUGGAUCUCAGUGUUAUGCUUGGUUCCACUCGGCGUGAUAAGUUAUCUAUCGCUGAGGACACUGUAAAAGGUGGCCAAGGUAAAUGCAGAUGAACCGCUUCUAAUAGUCCAUUGACUUGGACAAUACUUUUAUGAUCUGAUAUCAAAUCAGGUAGGACUACCCGCUGAACUUAAGC